rnacentral:lncRNA from 1 species
GUGUACCCGCCUCCAGGGCGGGGCUUCCUCAAACCCUUCCCCCCGGGGAGGCCUCCUCGGCCGCUCUGUUGAAGCGGGGUUCAUGCUCUUCUCUGCAAAGAGAGUGGAAGAACCUGGCCGAGGGGAGGGGAGAGAAGCCCUCAUAGGCUUGGAAUGGGAAAACUCACUCUAAUCUGUAUCAACGGUUAAAUCUAACCUUGUAUGAAAAUGGAAGAAACACCUACUGUUACCCGUCUUCGAGCUUCAGAGUCUAAACCUGUACACUAGAGGCGGUGGUAUUACAAAUCUCAGCGUUAUUGUGAACAUUAAAUGGAAUCGUGAUGGAAAUCAGCUAGCAGUGACUGAAACAAACAGUAUAUGAUGACUGUUACUACUGUGAAUCUUGAUAGGUUUCAGUUAUAGGAAGAAGAAAUUUGGACUCAAAAAGAGACACCAGGGAUGUAUGCACACAGAGAAAAGACCAUGUAAAGACACAGCAAGAAGGCAAUCACCUACAAGCCAAUGUGAGAGGCCUCAGAAGAAAGCAAACCUGCCGACACUUUGAUCUUGGACUUCCAGCCUGCAGAACUGUUAGAAGAUAAAUUUCCAUUGCUUUAGCCUCUCAGUCUAUGAUAUUCUGUUAUAGCAGCCCUAGCAAACUAGUACACUGGCCAUCUAUCAGCAAGGAACUGACACCUGUUAACAGCCAUGGAACUGUACUUGGAACAUUGUACAUGUAACAAGUCUUGACAUGACUGCAGCUCUGGCCAAUAGCUGCACCCAGAUUCUUCCUACUAAAAUUGUGUGAGAUAAUAAAUAUUUGUUGUUUUAAACAGCUAAGUUUUGGGGCAGUUGCUCCACAGCAAUACAUAAUUAGUACCAAGUCGUUGUAUGGUUUUCAAAUAUUUUCUCCCAGUCUGUGGCUUGUUUUCAUUUUCCUAAUUAUGUCUUUUAAAGAGCAAAAGUUUUACAUUUCAAUGAAGUGCAAUUUAUCAGAUGAAUUGUACUUUUUGUGUCCCACUAAUAAAUUUUUGUCUAGC